CCUACGGGUGGCAGCAGUGGGGAAUAUUGGACAAUGGGGGAACCCUGAUCCAGCCAUGCCGCGUGUGCGAAGAAGGCCCUCGGGUUGUAAAGCACUUUCAGUGAGGAAGAACGCCUGGUGGUUAAUACCCAUCAGGAAAGACAUCACUCACAGAAGAAGCACCGGCUAACUCCGUGCCAGCAGCCGCGGUAAUACGGAGGGUGCGAGCGUUAAUCGGAAUUACUGGGCGUAAAGCGCGCGUAGGUGGCUUGAUAAGCCGGUUGUGAAAGCCCCGGGCUCAACCUGGGAACGGCAUCCGGAACUGUCAAGCUAGAGUGCAGGAGAGGAAGGUAGAAUUCCCGGUGUAGCGGUGAAAUGCGUAGAGAUCGGGAGGAAUACCAGUGGCGAAGGCGGCCUUCUGGACUGACACUGACACUGAGGUGCGAAAGCGUGGGUAGCAAACAGGAUUAGAUACCCCUGUAGUC
rnacentral:rRNA from 1 species